rnacentral:lncRNA from 1 species
UGUUAAACCUGCCUGAGGGAAAUACCUACGAUUCCCCUAGAAAGUUUCCUGCACGGCCUUCCUUGGAAGUUUGCUCUCCUGCCUGAAGUGAGCUUCAGCCUCUUUGGGCACAGAGAGCUCUCAUUUAUGUGCCUCAAAUGUUCCUGGGUAGGGUAUCAUUUAAAAAUUUCCAGUGGAUGCAUCUUAACUCAGCUCUGCAGCCUUCACUGUGCUGUUCCAUAAGGCUUCUCACCAUCUGAAGUGCAAAAUUCACCACCAGGAACUGGCCUUGGGUAAAUACCUUUAUCGGUGAUUGUGGCUGAUUACAAGUGUGAUUAUUGUCAUGCCAUGGGAGAAUACAGGGCAAGGACAGAACACUUCAGAAAGUGUUCUGUAAAUUAGAAAUUAAUCUGUAAACCACAGAUUAAUUUCUAAUAAGCAGAUGGUCUCUGUGUGUUCCCAUUCAUGAGCUAUAAACAGAUUGUAAUACCUUUUUAAAAUUAUUUUUUCCCAAGAGAUCUAGUUUAACUCUUGUCAAAGAGCCUGAGCAGUGUCUUCUUGGAGGAAAAAAUUCUACAGCAGAUUCUUCUUUUCCCAGUUGAUAGAAGUCAGUGACCACUAAGAGUGAUUCAAGCUUGAAAACUUAAAUAAAACUGUG